rnacentral:rRNA from 1 species
GACGAACGCUGGCGGCGUGCUUAACACAUGCAAGUCGAACGGAAAGGCCCUGCUUUUGUGGGGUGCUCGAGUGGCGAACGGGUGAGUAACACGUGAGUAACCUGCCCUUGACUUUGGGAUAACUUCAGGAAACUGGGGCUAAUACCGGAUAGGAGCUCCUGCUGCAUGGUGGGGGUUGGAAAGUUUCGGCGGUUGGGGAUGGACUCGCGGCUUAUCAGCUUGUUGGUGGGGUAGUGGCUUACCAAGGCUUUGACGGGUAGCCGGCCUGAGAGGGUAACCGGCCACAUUGGGACUGAGAUACGGCCCAGACUCCUACGGGAGGCAGCAGUGGGGAAUAUUGCACAAUGGGCGGAAGCCUGAUGCAGCAACGCCGCGUGCGGGAUGACGGCCUUCGGGUUGUAAACCGCCUUCGCCUGUGACGAAGCGUGAGUGACGGUAAUGGGUAAAGAAGCACCGGCUAACUACGUG